rnacentral:rRNA from 1 species
GACGAACGCUGGCGGCGUGCUUAACACAUGCAAGUCGAACGGAAAGGCCCUGCUUGCAGGGUACUCGAGUGGCGAACGGGUGAGUAACACGUGGGUGAUCUGCCCUGCACUUCGGGAUAAGCCUGGGAAACUGGGUCUAAUACCGGAUAGGAGCCAUUUUUAGUGUGAUGGUUGGAAAGUUUUUUCGGUGUAGGAUGAGCUCGCGGCCUAUCAGCUUGUUGGUGGGGUAAUGGCCUACCAAGGCGGCGACGGGUAGCCGGCCUGCGAGGGUGGACGGCCACAUUGGGACUGAGAGACGGCCCAGACUCCUACGGGAGGCAGCAGUGGGGAAGAUUGCACAAUGGGCGCAAGCCUGAUGCAGCGACGCCGCGUGGGGGAUGACGGCCUUCGGGUUGUAAACUCCUUUCGCUAGGGACGAAGCUUUUUGUGACGGUACCUAGAUAAGAAGCACCGGCUAACUACGUG